UUGGCGAAUGCACCAGGCGAGAUGCGGCAUUUCAUGUGUAUUUUGUGUUUGAUUGCAAUUGCGAAAUUACUAAAAUUUCUGGACGCCAUGCCGGACUUGACGGGUCUAACCGGAAAUGAAAGGAAAAGUGCGAAAAAAUAGCGGAAAUACACCGCUCCAUUUCCGCAGGCAUAUAUCACCUUUUUACGCUCACACACACACGAGAUAAGCACUCACACAAAGGUAAAUGCAAGGCAUGCAGGACGAACCAACACAGAUACAGAUAGGACUCAUUACACGAUGCGAUCUCCUGGCAUGCAAAUGUGUGUGUGUGUGUGGUGGCUUGUGUAUUUUUUUGUGCCGGGUUAGGUUCUGCUUAGAGUUAUGUUUUUCUGGUCGAUUCGGUUUAUGUGUUUGAUUUUUAGUUGCUCUUAGUAGAAAAGAAACAGAAGCCAACUCGCAUUGAGUUCUAAAUAAAAAUGUCAAAAAAGGAUUUAUUCGCUGCAGAAAAAAAACUAGUUGCCUUUGUAGAUCUCUAGUUAGAAAAGUUAUAAAUUCAAAGAGAAUAAAAGGAAAUGUCGGAAAUCAA